UGACUGUCAUGAGGUCUCUCUCUCUCUGCUUGACUGUCCCUACCAGCUGACUGUCAUGAGGUCUCUCUCUCUGCUUGACUGUCCCUACCAGCUGACUGUCAUGAGGUCUCUCUCUCUGCUUGACUGUCCCUACCAGCUGACUGUCAUGAGGUCUCUCUCUCUGCUUGACUGUCCCUACCAGCUGACUGUCAUGAGGUCUCUCUCUCUGCUUGACUGUCCCUACCAGCUGACUGUCAUGAGGUCUCUCUCUCUGCUUGACUGUCCCUACCAGCUGACUGUCAUGAGGUCUCUCUCUCUGCUUGACUGUCCCUACCAGCUGACUGUCAUGAGGUCUCUCUCUCUGCUUGACUGUCCCUACCAGCUGACUGUCAUGAGGUCUCUCUCUCUGCUUGACUGUCCCUACCAGCUGACUGUCGCGGCAGUUCUAGAGCGGCGUGUCACUCGGGCCCUCCAAUAGCGGCAGCUCUAGAGCGGCGUGUCACUCAGGCCCUCCAAUAGCGGCAGCUCUAGAGCGGUGUGUCACUCGGGCCCUCCAAUAGCGGC